CAGAGGGUGCAAGCGUUAAUCGGAAUUACUGGGCGUAAAGCGCGCGUAGGUGGUUUGUUAAGUUGGAUGUGAAAUCCCCGGGCUCAACCUGGGAACUGCAUUCAAAACUGACAAGCUAGAGUAUGGUAGAGGGUGGUGGAAUUUCCUGUGUAGCGGUGAAAUGCGUAGAUAUAGGAAGGAACACCAGUGGCGAAGGCGACCACCUGGACUGAUACUGACACUGAGGUGCGAAAGCGUGGGGAGCAAACAGGAUU
rnacentral:rRNA from 1 species